rfam:Dipodomys ordii contig_168, whole genome shotgun sequence.
GGGAAGAUGGCUCAGUGGUAGAGCACUUGCCUUGCAUGCAUGAGGCCCUGGGUUCGAUUCCUCAGUACCA